AGUAAAGUCAGCUAAACAAGCUUUUGGGCCCAUACCCCAAAAAUGUUGGUGGAACCCCAACCUUUACUA
rnacentral:tRNA from 1 species